GGCGCGUGCCUUGCUAUAGCUCUGCGUAAGUAAUCAAAGCCGAUUGCUCAUCCACGACAAAGACGCCGU
rnacentral:ncRNA from 1 species